rnacentral:lncRNA from 1 species
CAAACACUUAAAUGGUUCAGAGCAAAAUCUCAGCAUCCUCUUUUUUAGGGAAUCCAAGUCCUGGACACUGAAAGACUUAAGGAGCUUCAUCGGUAAAACACCAGAGGCUGGAGUCACUUUUGCAUAGUCCCAUGAUUUUCUGUGUCUCUGUUGCACUUUGAACUUGUAUUGGUUCUGCGUUUGUUUGUUUAUCUAUCAUUACUUUUUCAGUGCAAACCCCUACUGUUAGAGCUGUUGUUAUUGCUAUCUCAGUGUCCUUGCCAUUGUCAUUGCCACUGGUAGUAUCAUUGGUAGCAGUCCCUAUCACUAGUUCCUUUCUCUUCCCCAUUUUCUCCUUCUUUUUCACUGUGAGGUCCUGGCACACCUCACUAAUGACUGCCAUUUGGAAGAACAAUUGAUCCAGUCUAUUGUCUAGGUUGUUGUUGAUGUCUCUGCCCAUUAUUAUUUUCAUUCCCUUUCUAAUGGUGCUGUAUAAUUGCCAUAGUACCACAAUGGUACCAUAGAUAGCUGGGAGGGUUGGCCAUACUAUAGAUAUUUCCAUUGUUAUGCAAUCCCAAUAUCUAGUGAUGUUUAUUGCAGCCCCUAUCACAUCAUUAAACAUGUUUAUGAUGGAACCAAAUAUUGAAUAAUACCAGUGUGCUAAAAUGGCUAACACUAGUAAGGUCCAUAUAAUUUUCUGGUACAUUUUUUCUUCUUUUGUAUUAGAAUUCUAUACCCCAAGUUGGCUGCCCCACCCCUCAGUCUCUUCCAACUGCCAGGUGUGACUGUUGGAAAUGGAUUCUUGUUGUAAUCUGGGGUACCAACUGUAAUGGAUGGGGGAAAAUGUAGUCACCUACUACAUUUACUUUGAGGCAAGGUCAUCACAGGAAGGUUCUAGAGCAUUAGAGAGAGAAGCUAGCCAGGAAAGUCACAUAGUAUUCAGCUGGUGGCAUUCAGGGAGUUGUGGAUAAACUUCUGUGAAAGAAGACCAGAAGUGUACUUGUUAAAUGUUUAACAAUGAUUCUCUGAAAAUGUGUGGCGCACUUUCAAAUUUAAUAAACUCCAUUACUUUCUUAAGUGUAGACA